AGAGUUUGAUCCUGGCUCAGGACGAACGCUGGCGGCGUGCCUAACGCAUGCAAGUCGAACGGACGAGGCCCCUUCGGGGACCGAGUUAGUGGCGGACGGGUGAGUAACGCGUGAGCAACCUGCCUUUCAGAGGGGGACAACAGUUGGAAACGACUGCUAAUACCGCAUGAUGCAGCGAGAUCGCAUGGUCUUGCUGUCAAAGAUUUAUCGCUGAAAGAUGGGCUCGCGUCUGAUUAGCUAGUUGGAGGGGUAACGGCCCACCAAGGCGACGAUCAGUAGCCGGACUGAGAGGUUGAACGGCCACAUUGGGACUGAGAUACGGCCCAGACUCCUACGGGAGGCAGCAGUGGGGAAUAUUGGGCAAUGGGGGAAACCCUGACCCAGCAACGCCGCGUGAAGGAAGAAGGCUUUCGGGUUGUAAACUUCUUUUACCAGGGACGAAGAACGUGACGAUACCUGGAGAAAAAGCCACGGCUAACUACGUGCCAGCAGCCGCGGUAAUACGUAGGUGGCAAGCGUUGUCCGGAUUUACUGGGUGUAAAGGGCGUGUAGGCGGAGCUGCAAGUCAGAUGUGAAAUCUGGGGGCUUAACCCUAAAACUGCAUUUGAAACUGUAGCCCUUGAGUAUCGGAGAGGCAGGCGGAAUUCCUAGUGUAGCGGUGAAAUGCGUAGAUAUUAGGAAGAACACCAGUGGCGAAGGCGGCCUGCUGGACGACAACUGACGCUGAGGCGCGAAAGCGUGGGGAGCAAACAGGAUUAGAUACCCUGGUAGUCCACGCUGUAAACGAUGAAUACUAGGUGUGGGGGGACUGACCCCCUCCGUGCCGGAGUUAACACAAUAAGUAUUCCACCUGGGGAGUACGACCGCAAGGUUGAAACUCAAAGGAAUUGACGGGGGCCCGCACAAGCAGUGGAUUAUGUGGUUUAAUUCGACGCAACGCGAAGAACCUUACCGGGAUUUGACAUCCUACUAACGAAGCAGAGAUGCAUUAGGUGCCCUUCGGGGAAAGUAGAGACAGGUGGUGCAUGGUUGUCGUCAGCUCGUGUCGUGAGAUGUUGGGUUAAGUCCCGCAACGAGCGCAAUCCCUAUUGUUAGUUGCUACGCAAGAGCACUCUAGCGAGACUGCCGUUGACAAAACGGAGGAAGGCGGGGACGACGUCAAAUCAUCAUGCCCCUUAUGUCCCGGGCUACACACGUAAUACAAUGGCGGUCAACAAAGGGAAGCAAAGCCGCGAGGCAGAGCAAACCCCCAAAAGCCGUCUCAGUUCGGAUUGCAGGCUGCAACUCGCCUGCAUGAAGCUGGAAUUGCUAGUAAUCGUGGAUCAGAAUGCCACGGUGAAUACGUUCCCGGGCCUUGUACACACCGCCCGUCACACCAUGAGAGUCGGGAACACCCGAAGUCCGUAGUCUAACCCGCAAGGGAAGGCGCGGCCGAAGGUGGGUCUGAUAAUUGGGGUGAAGUCGUAACAAGGUA
rnacentral:rRNA from 1 species